GCAAACUUGGUCAUUUAGAGGAAGUAAAAGUCGUAACAAGGUCUCCGUAGGUGAACCUGCGGAGGGAUCAUUACAGAGUUCAUGCCCGUCAGGGUAGAUCUCCCACCCACUGUUAUCACUACUCUUGUUGCUUUGGCGGGCCGCGGGGCCCUGCCUCGCCACCGGCCCCGGCUGGCGUGUGCCCGCCAGAGACCCUACAAAUUCUAAAUAUUAGUGUCGUCCGAGUAUUAAAUAAUCGUUAAAACUUUCAACAACGGAUCUCUUGGUUCUGGCAUCGAUGAAGAACGCAGC
rnacentral:misc_RNA from 1 species